rnacentral:lncRNA from 1 species
GACGGGAUGGUUGUGAGCGGGACAGAAACUCCACCACAAGGGUUCUGGGGGUACUACAGGGACUAAAGGAAGCAGUGUGAUCAGUGUGAAAGCAGCAAGGCCAUGAUUUAUUUCUUGGGCGUGUAGUUUUCUCCCGAGGCCUCUGCUUGGUUAUUUUACCCAGCAUCGGUGCCAAAGGAGAUUUCCCCAAAGGGAAAAGUACUGCAGUGCUCGACGCAUUACAGUCCUUUCCCGUUUGCAAGCUCUCCCACACAUUCCUUCUUCUGUUCCCAAAUCACAGGAGACGACGAGAAAGAGAACAGACCACCUGUCCAGAUAAUUUGCCUUUGGAGUCUGCAGGGCUGGUGAAGGCAUCCUGAGAUGGGGGAGGCCCCUGGGGACCUCCACAGUCAGGGCUCCCACCUCCUCUCCCACACCGCUCUGCCUCAUGCCCUGGGUUGCCUGUCUGACUGUCUCAAGACUGGGGGUUCUCCGGUGAGCAGAUGGCUGCUUAGCGUCUGAGGGGCAGACACCAUGCCGUGGUGACAGCGUGAUCCCUUGAUGGAAAGGCCACCAGAACCACUGGUAGUGCAGCUGGACACUGCGGAGCCCUGGGACCACACCCGCUGCCUCCCUCCAGACUCCUUAGGUCUAUGCCGUGUGCCUGGCUUUUUCCAACCACUCCGAAUUGAUCAUUUCCUAAUGACCACAUGGCUCAGAAACUCACAGCACAUCCUUCUAGGGGCCUCUUUCUCCCAAGUCCUCCCAGGGACUUGGCAGCUUCAUCUCUAAGGCCUGCAGAGGCUGUGGCUAUGGCUGUCCAUUGUUCUCGCUCCUUGGCUUCAGUUCAGAGCCAUCAAAUCCCUGCAGCUCGCACACUGGAACAUUCAUAUUUUGGAUAAGUCAACAAAACAGCUUCUAGAAAAUGGAAAACCCAGAGUGUGAUCUACCAGGAGCUCCUGGUUUCAACCAGUUCCUUGCUGUACCUGCUGGGCCUGUGAUACGAAGAAACAUCAUGGCUUCAAUGGCAGCCUUGGAAAUGAACUUCAUUGAAAGGGAAUUUACACUGAGGUUUAUGAUUGCUGCUAUGAAAAGAGUGCACAUCCUUUCCUUCGAAACACAAGACUAGAAAAAAAAAACUCUAAAAUUCAUACGG